UGCCCCAGUAACGGCGAGUGAAGCGGCAACAGCUCAAAUUUGAAAUCUGGCCCCCCCCGCGGGGGCCCGAGUUGUAUUUGGAGAGGAUGCUUUGGCGCGGCGCCGUCCGAGUUCCCUUGGAACGGACGCCGAGAGGGUGAGAGCCCCGUACGGACGGACGCCUGGCCUCUGCGAAGCUCCUUCGACGAGUCGAGUAGUUUGGGAAUGCUGCUCAAAAUGGGAGGUAAAUUUCUUCUAAAGCUAAAUACCGGCCAGAGACCGAUAGCGCACAAGUAGAGUGAUCGAAAGAUGAAAAGCACUUUGAAAAGAGGGUUAAACAGUACGUGAAAUUGUUGAAAGGGAAGCGCCUGUGACCAGACUUGCGCCCCGCGGACCAUCCGGCGUUCUCGCCGGUGCACUCCGCGGGGCGUGGGCCAGCAUCGGUUCUGCCAGGGGGACAAAGGCCGCGGGAACGUAGCUCCUCCGGGAGUGUUAUAGCCCGCGGCGGCAUGCCCCUGGCGGGACCGAGGACCGCGCUUCGGCAAGGAUGCUGGCGUAAUGGUCACCGGCGACCCGUCUUGAAACACGGACCAAGGAGUCAAGCAUUGGGGCGAGUGUCUGGGUGCCAAACCCGCACGCGAAAUGAAAGUAAACGCAGGUGAGAGCUUGGGCGCACCACCGACCGAUCCUGAUGUCCUCGGAUGGAUUUGAGUAAGAGCCUUGCCGCUUGGACCCGAAAGAUGGUGAACUAUGCCUGGAUAGGGUGAAGCCAGAGGAAACUCUGGUGGAGGCUCGCAGCGGUUCUGACGUGCAAAUCGAUCGUCAAAUCUGGGCAUGGGGGCGAAAGACUAAUCGAACC
rnacentral:rRNA from 1 species